GAAAGAGAGGGAGGGGUAGAUGGGAAGUACAACUGCUCCUCCCUGCUAAUUGCUAUGCCUAUAUGUUGAAUGGAAGGAAAGGGAAAGAAGGAGAGCAGGAGGGUGCGGUGUAGCGUGGCGGGGGCAGGUACCACGUGCAGGGUCUCAUUAAAAGCCGUUAAAUCUUGAAGGCCCACCUCUCUAACUCAAACCUAACACUCUGCAAUUCCCAUUAAACUAGUUCAACACACUCGCAAGCAUUUCAAGAUUGUGAAUGUACGCCGAAACGCAUCUCUCCAACCAUAACAUUCAACAUUCUUUUGGGUUCUGCUUGAUUUUUUUUUUCUUGCACUCUUUGCAUCUAGAUUCCAACUAAUGUUUUCUUACCCUUAAACCCAAUUCAGUUCAAUUUGAUACCACCUUCCAAUAUUUCGGUUCGCCUCCAGCAUGUUGGAAGCGCAAAGGAGACCACCAGUGCCUGUGGGUGUUGCUCAUGGCAAUGGUUACAUAAAUGGAUUGGUCUCAACUAGGAGCCCUGCUACAAUAUCUGAAGUGGAUGAAUUCUGCUAUGCUCUUGGAGGGAAGAGGCCAAUCCAUAGUAUUUUAAUUUCAAACAAUGGAAUGGCAGCUGUCAAGUUUAUACGUAGUAUUAGGACAUGGGCUUAUGAAACAUUUGGCACUGAGAAGGCAAUCUUGUUGGUGGCCAUGGCAACUCCAGAAGACAUGAGAAUCAAUGCUGAGCAUAUUAGAAUUGCUGAUCAGUUUGUGGAAGUUCCUGGUGGGACAAAUAAUAACAACUAUGCCAAUGUGCAGCUCAUCGUAGAGAUGGCAGAGAUAACUCGUGUUGAUGCUGUUUGGCCUGGUUGGGGCCAUGCAUCUGAGAAUCCUGAACUGCCAGAUGCACUGAAUGCUAAGGGGAUUUUAUUUCUCGGGCCACCAGCUAUUUCAAUGGCAGCACUAGGCGAUAAAAUUGGCUCAUCUUUGAUUGCUCAAGCAGCAGAUGUCCCUACUCUUCCAUGGAGUGGUUCUCACGUGAAAAUCUCUCCAGAAAGUUGUUUGAUUACCAUCCCAGAUGAGGUAUACAGGGAAGCAUGUGUAUAUACAACAGAGGAAGCAAUUGCAAGCUGUCAAGUUGUUGGUUACCCUGCAAUGAUCAAGGCAUCGUGGGGUGGUGGCGGUAAAGGCAUAAGAAAGGUUCAUAAUGAUGAUGAAGUUAGGGCAUUGUUCAAGCAAGUUCAGGGUGAAGUUCCAGGAUCACCCAUAUUUAUAAUGAAGGUUGCUUCCCAGAGUCGGCAUUUAGAAGUCCAGUUACUCUGUGAUCAGUAUGGAAAUGUAGCAGCUUUGCAUAGCCGUGAUUGCAGUGUUCAGAGGCGGCACCAAAAGAUAAUUGAGGAGGGUCCAAUUACUGUUGCGCCUCUGGAGACAGUCAAAAAGCUAGAGCAAGCAGCUCGAAGGUUAGCAAAAUGUGUGAAUUAUGUUGGAGCAGCUACCGUUGAGUAUUUGUACAGUAUGGACACUGGAGAGUAUUACUUCUUGGAGCUCAAUCCUCGGUUGCAGGUGGAGCACCCUGUCACUGAGUGGAUUGCUGAAAUAAAUUUGCCAGCAGCCCAGGUAGCUGUUGGGAUGGGAAUUCCUCUCUGGCAUAUUCCUGAGAUAAGGCGAUUUUAUGGAAUGGAACAUGGUGGAGGAUAUGAUGCUUGGAGGAAAACUUCAGUGGUUGCUACCCCUUUCGAUUUUGACCAGGCAGAGUCUACAAGGCCAAAAGGUCAUUGUGUCGCUGUGCGUGUAACAAGUGAGGAUCCAGAUGAUGGUUUUAAGCCUACAAGUGGAAAAGUACAGGAGCUAAGUUUCAAAAGCAAGCCAAAUGUGUGGGCUUACUUCUCUGUUAAGUCUGGUGGAGGCAUUCAUGAAUUCUCAGAUUCUCAAUUUGGACAUGUUUUUGCAUUUGGGGAGUCAAGAGCUUUGGCUAUAGCAAAUAUGGUCCUUGGGCUGAAAGAAAUUCAAAUUCGAGGAGAGAUUCAUACUAAUGUUGACUACUCAGUUGACCUUCUACACGCUUCAGAUUAUAGGGACAACAAAAUCCACACAGGUUGGUUGGACAGUAGAAUUGCAAUGCGGGUUAGAGCAGAAAGGCCCCCUUGGUACCUCUCUGUUGUUGGAGGGGCUCUGUAUAAAGCAUCUGCUAGCAGUGCAGCGAUGGUUUCAGAUUAUGUUGGUUACCUUGAAAAGGGACAAAUUCCUCCCAAGCACAUAUCACUUGUAAACUCUCAAGUUUCGUUGAACAUUGAAGGAAGUAAAUACAUGAUUGAGAUGGUUAGAGGGGGCCCAGGAAGCUAUAGAUUGAAGAUGAAUAAGUCAGAGAUUGAAGCAGAGAUACAUACUUUACGUGACGGGGGUUUAUUGAUGCAGUUGGAUGGAAACAGUCAUGUGAUAUAUGCAGAGGAUGAAGCAGCUGGAACAUGCCUUCUUAUUGAUGGAAGGACUUGCUUGCUACAGAAUGAGCAUGAUCCAUCAAAGUUAGUGGCAGAGACACCAUGCAAGCUGCUGAGGUAUUUGGUUUCAGAUGGUAGUCAUAUUGAAGCUGAUAAUCCUUAUGCGGAGGUUGAAGUUAUGAAGAUGUGCAUGCCUCUUCUAUCACCGGCUUCUGGAGUAAUUCAAUUUAAAUUGUCCGAAGGUCAAGCAAUGCAGGCUGGUGAGCUUAUAGCACGGCUUGAUCUUGAUGAUCCUUCAGCUGUGCGAAAGGCUGAACCUUUUCAUGGUAGCUUCCCAGUACUGGGGCCUCCAACUGCUAUUUCUGGUAAAGUUCAUCAGAAAUGUGCUGCAAGUCUAAAUGCAGCUCGCAUGAUUCUUGCAGGCUAUGACCAUAAUAUUGACGAAGUUGUACAAAACUUGCUCAAUUGUCUUGAUAGUCCUGAACUUCCUUUCCUUCAAUGGCAAGAAUGCUUGUCUGUUUUGGCUACUCGCCUUCCCAGAGAUCUUAGAAAUGAGUUGGAAUCAAAAUAUAGGGAGUUUGAGGGGAUUUCAAGCUCUCAAAACACAGACUUUCCUGCCAAAUUGUUAAGGGGUGUUCUUGAGGCCCAUCUUUCCUCCUGUCCUGAAAAGGAAAAAGGAGCCCAGGAAAGGCUUGUUGAACCUUUGAUGAGUCUGGUAAAGUCUUAUGAGGGAGGACGGGAGAGUCAUGCCCUCAUCAUCGUGCAAUCACUUUUUGCAGAGUAUUUAUCAGUUGAAGAAUUGUUCAGUGACAACAUCCAGGCUGAUGUGAUUGAACGUCUUAGACUUCAAUACAAGAAAGAUCUAUUGAAGGUUGUGGACAUUGUCCUUUCUCAUCAGGGUGUCAGGAGCAAAAAUAAGUUGAUACUACGGCUCAUGGAACAACUGGUUUAUCCUAAUCCUGCUGCAUACAGGGAUAAACUAAUCCGGUUCUCUCAACUCAACCAUAUAAAUUAUUCUGAGUUGGCACUGAAGGCAAGUCAACUGUUGGAACAAACGAAACUGAGUGAACUUCGUUCUACCAUUGCUAGAACCCUUUCUGAAUUGGAGAUGUUUACGGAGGAUGGUGAAAAUAUGGAUACUCCCAAGAGGAGAAGUGCCAUUAAUGAACGAAUGGAGGACCUUGUGAGUGCUCCUUUGGCUGUUGAAGAUGCCCUCGUGGGUCUGUUUGAUCACAGUGAUCACACUCUUCAAAGACGGGUAGUGGAAACUUAUGUUCAAAGGCUAUAUCAGGUACCGUAUUUCAACUUUCUUGAUUUUAGUAGUAGACAAUCAUUUCUUCACUUUCCUGUUUGUAUAUGUCAUCAGCCCUAUCUUGUAAGGGAUAGUGUCAGGAUGCAGUGGCAUAGAUCUGGUCUUAUUGCUUCAUGGGAAUUCAUGGAAGAGCAUAUUGGGAGAAAGAAUGGCUCUGAAGAAAUGUCAGAUGAAUCAGUGGUGGAGAAACACUGCAACAGGAAAUGGGGAGCCAUGGUUAUCAUCAAAUCUCUGCAAUUUUUGCCCACAAUUAUUAGUGCUGCAUUAAGGGAAACAACUCAUACCCACCAUGAAGCCAUUCCAAAUGGAUCUUUAGAACCAGCUAACUUCGGUAAUAUGAUGCAUAUUGCAUUAGUGGGCAUCAACAACCAGAUGAGUCUGCUUCAGGAUAGUGGUGAUGAGGAUCAGGCUCAAGAAAGAAUAAACAAAUUAGCCAAAAUUCUUAAAGAGCAAGAAGUAGGCUCCAAUUUACGCACAGCAGGUGUUGGGGUUAUUAGUUGCAUCAUACAAAGGGACGAAGGGAGAGCACCUAUGAGGCACUCCUUUCACUGGUCAUCAGAAAAGCUCUAUUAUGAGGAAGAACCUCUAUUGCGACAUCUAGAACCUCCACUAUCCAUCUACCUUGAAUUGGACAAACUUAAAGGUUAUGGCAAUAUACAAUAUACUCCAUCACGGGACAGACAAUGGCACUUGUACACUGUUGUAGACAAGCCAGUGCCAAUCCAGAGGAUGUUUCUUAGAACCCUUGUUAGGCAGCCCACAACAAAUGAAGGGCUUACUGCAUAUCAGGGGCUGGGCAUAGAAGCACCCCGUGCACAGUGGGCUAUGUCCUUUACGUCAAGGAGCAUUUUGAGGUCCUUAGUGGCUGCAAUGGAGGAGUUGGAGCUUAGUGUGCACAAUGCUACUGUCAAAUCUGAGCAUGCUCAUAUGUACCUCUGUAUCUUACGGGAACAACGAUUAGAUGACCUUGUGCCGUACCCCGGGAGAGUUGAUAUUGAUGCUGGCCAGGAAGAAGCUGCAGUAAAUAGAAUCUUGGAAGAACUGGCUAGGGAAAUGCAUGCAUCAGUUGGUGUAAGAAUGCACAGGUUAAAUGUUUGUGAGUGGGAAGUGAAGCUCUGGAUGUCAUCAUCUGGACAAGCAAAUGGUGCUUGGAGAGUUGUCAUCACAAAUGUAACUGGUCACACCUGUGCUGUACAUAUAUACCGGGAACUAGAGGAUACCUGCAAACGAGGAGUGGUGUACCAUUCGAUCUCUGUACAUGGUCCUCUGCAUGGUGUAAUGGUAAAUGCAGUCUAUCAGCCCUUAGGAGUUCUUGAUCGGAAACGUUUGUUGGCAAGGAGAAGCAACACCACUUACUGCUAUGAUUUUCCAUUGGCAUUUGAGACAGCCUUGGAACAAAUAUGGGCAUCCCAGUUAAAUGGAGGUGGAAAACCUAAGGAUAAUAUUCUUCUCAAAGUCACAGAGCUUGUAUUUGCUGAUCAGAAAGGUAGCUGGGGCACUCGUCUUGUUCCUGUGGAGCGCCCAGCUGGACUGAAUGAUGUUGGCAUGGUAGCAUGGAGCAUGGAAAUGUCUACCCCUGAGUUCCCUUCUGGAAGGACAAUAUUGAUAGUAGCAAAUGAUGUGACCUUCAAAGCUGGGUCUUUUGGACCAAGAGAGGAUGCAUUUUUCUUUGCAGUAACUGAUCUUGCUUGCACUAAAAAGUUGCCAUUAAUUUAUUUGGCAGCAAACUCUGGUGCCCGAAUUGGAGUUGCUGAGGAAGUCAAGUCCUGCUUUAAAGUUGGUUGGUCGGAUGAAUCAUGCCCCGAGCGUGGUUUUCAAUAUGUAUAUUUGAGCCCUGAGGAUUACACUCGCAUUGGAUCAUCUGUGAUAGCGCAUGAGUUGAAGCUGACUAAUGGAGAAACCAGAUGGGUGAUAGAAGCCAUUGUUGGCAAGGAGGAUGGCCUGGGGGUAGAGAACUUAUCUGGAAGUGGGGCCAUUGCGAGUGCAUAUUCUAGGGCAUACAAGGAAACCUUUACCUUAACAUAUGUGACUGGUAGAACAGUGGGAAUUGGUGCUUAUUUAGCUCGGCUUGGGAUGCGGUGCAUACAGAGGCUUGAUCAGCCCAUUAUUUUGACUGGUUUCUCUGCAUUGAACAAACUCCUUGGCCGUGAGGUCUACAGCUCUCACAUGCAACUUGGUGGACCUAAAAUAAUGGCAACCAAUGGAGUAGUGCAUCUUACUGUCUCAGAUGAUCUAGAAGGCGUUUCUGCUAUUUUGAAGUGGCUAAGUUGUAUUCCUCCUUGUAUUGGUGGAACACUUCCAAUUCUAAGCCCUUCAGAUCCUACUGAAAGGCCUGUGGAGUACUUCCCAGAAAACUCAUGUGACCCUCGUGCUGCUAUUUGUGGUGCUUCGGACAGCAGUGGGAAGUGGCUUGGGGGUAUUUUUGACAGGGAUAGUUUUAUUGAGACUUUGGAAGGUUGGGCAAGGACAGUUGUGACAGGAAGGGCAAAGCUUGGAGGAAUCCCUGUUGGAAUAAUUGCUGUUGAAACACAAACUGUAAUGCAAGUGAUUCCUGCUGACCCAGGACAGCUUGAUUCUCAUGAGAGGGUUGUCCCCCAGGCUGGACAAGUAUGGUUUCCAGAUUCUGCAACCAAAACAGCUCAAGCAAUAUUGGAUUUCAACAGAGAAGAGCUUCCACUUUUCAUUCUUGCAAACUGGAGAGGCUUUUCGGGUGGACAGAGGGAUCUUUUUGAAGGUAUCCUUCAGGCAGGUUCGACCAUAGUUGAGAACCUUAGGACAUACAAGCAACCUGUUUUUGUGUACAUCCCCAUGAUGGGUGAGCUUCGAGGUGGGGCAUGGGUUGUUGUGGACAGUCAGAUCAAUUCAGAUCACAUUGAAAUGUAUGCUGAUCGAACAGCAAAAGGUAAUGUCCUUGAGCCUGAAGGAAUAAUUGAGAUCAAGUUCAGAACAAAGGAGCUGCUUGAGUGCAUGGGUCGGCUUGACCAACAGCUGAUCGCUAUGAAGGCAAAACUUCAGGAAGCCAGGAAUAGCAGAAAUUCUGGAAUGGUUGAAUCUGUGCAACAACAGAUAAAAUCUCGUGAAAAGCAACUUUUACCAGUGUACACUCAGAUAGCCACCAGAUUUGCAGAGCUUCAUGAUUCUUCCCUAAGGAUGGCUGCAAAAGGGGUGAUCAGAGAAGUUGUGGACUGGGAAAGAUCCCGUGGUUACUUUUACAAAAGGUUGUGUAGGAGAAUUGCUGAGGUUUCACUGAUCAAGACUCUGAAAGAUGCAGCUGGUGACCAGCUGUCACACAAAACUGCAAUGGACUUGAUCAAAAAGUGGUUCUUGGAUUCAGAUAUUGCAAGAGCCAGGGAAGAUGCUUGGGGGAAUGAUGAAGCUUUCUUUGCAUGGAAGUAUGAUCCUAGGAAUUAUGAGGAAAAGCUACAAGAGUUAAGGGUCCAGAAGGUAUUGCUUCAAUUAACAAGCAUUGUCGAAUCAAUGUCAGAUUUGAAAGCUCUACCUCAAGGUCUUGCUGCCCUUCUAAGAAAGGUGGAUCCAUCAACCCAAGGGCAAUUGAUUAAUGAGCUUCGUAAGGUGCUUGAUUGAUUCAUGGUAUGCCCUUUAAAAGUAAAUAUGGUUCUGCACCCACUUUCGGCUCUAGUUCCAUUCAACUGAGAAAGAAAUAUAUUUACAUCUCCAGUGCUAUUUGCGUACCCUCUGCAG
rnacentral:misc_RNA from 1 species